rnacentral:rRNA from 1 species
UGGGGAAUUUUGGACAAUGGGGGAAACCCUGAUCCAGCCAUCCCGCGUGUGCGAUGAAGGCCUUCGGGUUGUAAAGCACUUUUGGCAGGAAAGAAACGUCAUGGGUUAAUACCCCGUGAAACUGACGGUACCUUCAGAAUAAGCACCGGCUAACUACGUGCCAGCAGCCGCGGUAAUACGUAGGGUGCAAGCGUUAAUCGGAAUUACUGGGCGUAAAGCGUGCGCAGGCGGUUCGGAAAGAAAGAUGUGAAAUCCCAGAGCUCAACUUUGGAACUGCAUUUUUAACUACCGGGCUAGAGGGUGUCAGAGGUAGGUGGAAUUCCGCGUGUAGCAGUGAAAUGCGUAGAUAUGCGGAGGAACACCGAUGGCGAAGGCAGCCUCCUGGGAUAACACUGACGCUCAUGCACGAAAGCGUGGGGAGCAAACAGG